AGUAAGGCGUUUUUGACCCGAAAAAAAACGUCCAUGUAUAGUAAGGCAUUUUUUGCCGAAAAAAACGACCAUGUAUAGUAAGGCGUUUUUAGCCGAUAAAAACGACCAUGUAUAGUAAGGCGUUUUUAACCGAAAAUAACGACCAUGUAUAGUAAGGCGUUUUUGACCCGAAAAAAACGACCAUGUAUAGUAAGGCGUUUUUAGCCGAAAAAAACGACCAUGUAUAGUAAGACGUUUUUAGCCGAAAAAAAAACGACCAUGUAUAGUAAGGCAUUUUUAGCCGAAAAAAAACGACCAUGUAUAGUAAGGCUUUUUGACCCGAAAAAAACGACCAUGUAAGGCGUUUUUAGCCGAAAAAAACGACCAUGUAUAGUAAGGCGUUUUUAGCCGAUAAAAACGACCAUGUAUAGUAAGGCGUUUUUAACCGAAAAAAACAUCCAUGUAUAGUAAGGCGUUUUUAGCCGAAAAAAACGACCAUGUAUAGUAAGGCGUUUUUAGCCGAUAAAAACGACCAUGUAUAGUAAGGCGUUUUUAACCGAAAAAAACGACCAUGUAUAUAAGGCGUUUUUAGCCGAAAAAAACGACCAUGUAUAGUAAGGCGUUUUUAGCCGAUAAAAACGACCAUGUACUGUAUAGUAAGGCGUUUUUAACCGAAAAAAACGACCAUGUAUAGUAAGGCGUUUUUAGCCGAAAAAAACGAC